rnacentral:misc_RNA from 1 species
UCAAACUUGGUCAUUUAGAGGAAGUAAAAGUCGUAACAAGGUCUCCGUAGGUGAGUAAUUAUGUUUUUCCGCAAACCCAUCAAAUCGACAUCAACUAACCAAUUCACAGGUGAACCUGCGGAGGGAUCAUUACCGAGUUCCGGGUGAAAAACCCGAACCUCCAACCCAUUGUUGUCCGACUCUGUUGCCUCGGGGUAAACCUUAACCGGACCCCGGUGGACUUUUAAACACUGAUUUGAUGGUCGUCUGAUUUAUCAUUGUAAAUUAAACAAAACUUUCAACAACGGAUCUCUUGGUUCUGGCAUCGAUGAAGAACGCAGC